AUUAAACGCUGGCGGAAUGCUUUACACAUGCAAGUCGAACGGCAGCACGGACUUCGGUCUGGUGGCGAGUGGCGAACGGGUGAGUAAUACAUCGGAACGUGCCCAGUCGUGGGGGAUAACGUAGCGAAAGCUACGCUAAUACCGCAUACGAUCUAAGGAUGAAGGCGGGGGAUCGCAAGACCUCGCGCGAUUGGAGCGGCCGAUGGCAGAUUAGGUAGUUGGUAGGGUAAAGGCCUACCAAGCCGACGAUCUGUAGCUGGUCUGAGAGGAUGAUCAGCCACACUGGGACUGAGACACGGCCCAGACUCCUACGGGAGGCAGCAGUGGGGAAUUUUGGACAAUGGGCGCAAGCCUGAUCCAGCCAUUCCGCGUGCAGGAUGAAGGCCUUCGGGUUGUAAACUGCUUUUGUACAGAACGAAAAGGCUCCGGUUAAUACCCGGGGCUCAUGACGGUACUGUAAGAAUAAGCACCGGCUAACUACGUGCCAGCAGCCGCGGUAA
rnacentral:rRNA from 1 species